rnacentral:rRNA from 1 species
AUGAACGCUAGCUACAGGCUUAACACAUGCAAGUCGAGGGGCAGCAUUUUAGUUUGCUUGCAAACUAAAGAUGGCGACCGGCGCACGGGUGAGUAACACGUAUCCAACCUGCCGAUAACUCGGGGAUAGCCUUUCGAAAGAAAGAUUAAUAUCCGAUAGUAUAUUAAAACCGCAUGGUUUUACUAUUAAAGAAUUUCGGUUAUCGAUGGGGAUGCGUUCCAUUAGUUUGUUGGCGGGGUAACGGCCCACCACGACUACGAUGGAUAGGGGUUCUGAGAGGAAGGUCCCCCACAUUGGAACUGAGACACGGUCCAAACUCCUACGGGAGGCAGCAGUGAGGAAUAUUGGUCAAUGGACGAGAGUCUGAACCAGCCAAGUAGCGUGAAGGAUGACUGCCCUAUGGGUUGUAAACUUCUUUUAUAUGGGAAUAAAGUAUUCCACGUGUGGAAUUUUGUAUGUACCAUAUGAAUAAGGAUCGGCUAACUCCGUGCCAGCAGCCGCGGUAAUACGGAGGAUCCGAGCGUUAUCCGGAUUUAUUGGGUUUAAAGGGAGCGUAGGUGGAUUGUUAAGUCAGUUGUGAAAGUUUGCGGCUCAACCGUAAAAUUGCAGUUGAAACUGGCAGUCUUGAGUACAGUAGAGGUGGGCGGAAUUCGUGGUGUAGCGGUGAAAUGCUUAGAUAUCACGAAGAACUCCGAUUGCGAAGGCAGCUCACUAGACUGCAACUGACACUGAUGCUCGAAAGUGUGGGUAUCAAACAGGAUUAGAUACCCUGGUAGUCCACACAGUAAACGAUGAAUACUCGCUGUUUGCGAUAUACAGUAAGCGGCCAAGCGAAAGCAUUAAGUAUUCCACCUGGGGAGUACGCCGGCAACGGUGAAACUCAAAGGAAUUGACGGGGGCCCGCACAAGCGGAGGAACAUGUGGUUUAAUUCGAUGAUACGCGAGGAACCUUACCCGGGCUUAAAUUGCAUUUGAAUAAUCUGGAAACAGGUUAGCCGCAAGGCAAAUGUGAAGGUGCUGCAUGGUUGUCGUCAGCUCGUGCCGUGAGGUGUCGGCUUAAGUGCCAUAACGAGCGCAACCCUUAUCUUUAGUUACUAACAGGUCAUGCUGAGGACUCUAGAGAGACUGCCGUCGUAAGAUGUGAGGAAGGUGGGGAUGACGUCAAAUCAGCACGGCCCUUACGUCCGGGGCUACACACGUGUUACAAUGGGGGGUACAGAAGGCAGCUACCUGGCGACAGGAUGCUAAUCCCAAAAACCUCUCUCAGUUCGGAUCGAAGUCUGCAACCCGACUUCGUGAAGCUGGAUUCGCUAGUAAUCGCGCAUCAGCCAUGGCGCGGUGAAUACGUUCCCGGGCCUUGUACACACCGCCCGUCAAGCCAUGAAAGCCGGGGGUACCUGAAGUACGUAACCGCAAGGAGCGUCCUAGGGUAAAACUGGUAAUUGGGGCU